GCAGAUGGUGCGCCUCCGAGGUAGACGAGAAUCUUAAUGUGCUGUCAAUUAUAUCCUGCCCGACUAUGCCCCACGCAACUGAACAGCAACCACCAGUGACUGACAGUGAAUCCCCAGUUGAAACUGAACAGCCACCAUCUGAGA
rnacentral:lncRNA from 1 species